CGGGACGGGUGAGUAAUGUCUGGGAAACUGCCUGAUGGAGGGGGAGUAACUACUGGAAACGGUAGCUAAUACCGCAUAACGUCGCAAGACCAAGAGGGGGACCGUUCGGGCCUCUUGCCAUCAGAUGUGCCCAGAUGGGAUUAGCUAGUAGGUGGGGUAACGGCUCACCUAGGCGACGAUCCCUAGCUGGUCUGAGAGGAUGACCAGCCACACUGGAACUGAGACACGGUCCAGACUCCUACGGGAGGCAGCAUG
rnacentral:rRNA from 1 species